GCAUGCAGGCUGAGCGGUAGAGAUUCUUCGGGAUCUUGAGAGCGGCGUACGGGUGCGGAACACGUGUGCAACCUGCCUUUAUCAGGGGGAUAGCCUUUCGAAAGGAAGAUUAAUACCCCAUAAUAUAUUAACUGGCAUCAGUUGAUAUUGAAAGCUUCGGCGGAUAGAGAUGGGCACGCGCAAGAUUAGAUAGUUGGUGAGGUAACGGCUCACCAAGUCAAUGAUCUUUAGGGGGCCUGAGAGGGUGAUCCCCCACACUGGUACUGAGACACGGACCAGACUCCUACGGGAGGCAGCAGUGAGGAAUAUUGGACAAUGGGUGAAAGCCUGAUCCAGCCAUCCCGCGUGAAGGACGACGGCCCUAUGGGUUGUAAACUUCUUUUGUAUAGGGAUAAACCUUUCCACGUGAGGGAAGCUGAAGGUACUAUACGAAUAAGCACCGGCUAACUCCGUGCCAGCAGCCGCGGUAAUACGGAGGGUGCAAGCGUUAUCCGGAUUUAUUGGGUUUAAAGGGUCCGUAGGCGGAUCUGUAAGUCAGUGGUGAAAUCUCACAGCUUAACUGUGAAACUGCCAUUGAUACUGCAGGUCUUGAGUGUUGUUGAAGUAGCUGGAAUAAGUAGUGUAGCGGUGAAAUGCAUAGAUAUUACUUAGAACACCAAUUGCGAAGGCAGGUUACUAAGCAACAACUGACGCUGAUGGACGAAAGCGUGGGGAGCGAACAGGAUUAGAUACCCUGGUAGUCCACGCCGUAAACGAUGCUAACUCGUUUUUGGAUUUUGUGAUUCAGAGACUAAGCGAAAGUGAUAAGUUAGCCACCUGGGGAGUACGUUCGCAAGAAUGAAACUCAAAGGAAUUGACGGGGGCCCGCACAAGCGGUGGAUUAUGUGGUUUAAUUCCAUGAAACGCCAAGGAACCUUACCAAGGCUUAAAUGGGAAAUGACAGGUUUAGAAAUAGACUUUUCUUCCGAAAUUUUUUCAAGGUGCUGCAAGGUUGUCGUCACCUCCUGCCCUGAGGUGGUUAAGUUAAAUUCCUGCAACAACCGCAACCCCGUCCAUUAGUUGCAAUCUUAAAUUUGGGGAACCUAUUGGGACUGCCUACGCAAGUAGAGAGGAAGGUGGGGAUGACGUCAAAUCAUCACGGCCCUUACGCCUUGGGCCACACACGUAAUACAAUGGCCGGUACAGAGGGCAGCUACACAGCGAUGUGAUGCAAAUCUCGAAAGCCGGUCUCAGUUCGGAUUGGAGUCUGCAACUCGACUCUAUGAAGCUGGAAUCGCUAGUAAUCGCGCAUCAGCCAUGGCGCGGUGAAUACGUUCCCGGGCCUUGUACACACCGCCCGUCAAGCCAUGGAAGUCUGGGGUACCUGAAGUCGGUGACCGUAACCGAGCGCCU
rnacentral:rRNA from 1 species